CUGGAUUCAACAUUGCUAGAGAACCCUCAAAACAACUUGGAGUCCGCACAAAUUUAUUAACAGUGGAAGAGAUUCCUGGCCUGAACACCAAUGGCCUCUCCAUAGCUCGUAUAGACUUCACUCCAGGCGGUGUAAACCCACCUCACAGCCAUCCUCGAGCUGCGGAGGUCAUGACUGUCAUAGAAGGAGCUCUAUAUGCAGGUUUUAUCACUUCGAAUCCGUGUCACCGUCUUUUCGCCAAGGUUUUUAAGCCAGGAGAUGUUUUUGUAUUCCCAUUUGGGCUCAUUCACUUCCAAAUGAAUAUUGGGAAAACCCCUGCAGUUGCUAUAGCUGCAUUGAACAGUCAGAAUCCAGGAGAAAUGACCUUGGCAAAUGCAGUAUUUGGUGCAGUUCCAUCUGUUAAUCCUGAUCUUCUUGCAAGAGCAUUCCAUACGGACAGGAAUAUAGUGAAUGAUCUUAUUAAGCAAGAAUGGGUCAACCCAUCUGAGCUUAGUGACAUUAUACAAGGAAAUAUGGAUUUCUAUCCUCAUCCAACUUGUUAAUUUAAGUUCUGGGAAAUGCAAAUAAGAAGAAGAGGAUGUGUAUUUAUAUAUAUGCAUAUCAUAUAUGCUUCAUGUUAUUGUAAUCAUUCAAUAAGUGUGAGGAUACUACCUCUAUGAUUACAAGGGCGGAGCAUGGAGAGACUCAGCCUCAGCAAUAAUUAUUUUUGUUCAAAAAAUUUACUUAAUAAAAAUAGUGCAUUUUAUUUUGUUUUUACUUGAUUUUGGAGUCUGGCUAAUCUUCUGAUUAUUAGCAGAAUUAAAUAUAUAUUGGAAUUACUAAUAAGGUAUUGGUUGAAUUGGUUAGCGACUUUAAUUCCGAUAAGGGUGGAAAUACAAGUUUGAUCCACGGAAAAUACAUUUUACUAGGAGAUCAAAAACCUUUUACAUUUUACAGCUGAAGGGGAUUAAACCUCUUGGUUAUACAAUAUUUAUUAUAUACUACAAUUAAUUAAUAUGAUAAAAUUAAAUCUCUUGUUUAGAUAUAAUAGCAAAAUAAAAGAGCGGAAUCCUCUCUUUAUUUUCCGUGAGUCUAUUUUUUAUUUUCUCCAAAUUAGACUAUUUAAAUUAGGUUGAUUCAAGAAAAAGCAAUAAAUUGUUAUUUUUGGUCCUUUCUUAUUUUUUCAAUUUCCUAAAUUAAAAAAAUUAAACAUAUAUAUUGGGAAUUUGUUUAGAAAAACUUGUAAUCGGAUAGAUGUAGAGGUCAAAUAAAACUGCAUGGAAUGGAAAAUUUUGCUCUGCUGUUUGCGGGAAUUAAGAAAGUUGUCGUUUGUAUAUUAUAGCUUGCGAAUCGGGGCUUCUAAUUAAGCUAAUUAAUUAAUAUUAAGUAAGAGCAAACUGACGUGAUCGAAUAGAUUCCGGUCUCCAAUUGAUCUUGCGUACUUGGAUUUAGUCUUAAAAUUCUAUAUAAUAUCACACAGUAUUCAAUUUCUUUUAGUCACAUGUGAUCUAAAUAAAAAUAAUAAUGUUUGAAAUAUUGUGCAAUUUACAUGGAUUUGUCUCUAUAAAUUAUAAUAUUUUGUUUAAUGUUAAAAUUUAUUUUUAAUAACUUGAGAGUUGAAAUGGGAUUGUAUUGAUAUUUUCUCUCUAAAAAUCAAUGAUCUUCAACUCGAACUCUGAAUUUAAAGUCAUUUUAAACAUCAGAAAGUAACUGCUUUGCUUCUUUUUAUGAACUUACUUGAUAAUUAAACAUUUCAAAACUUUUAAGUUUCAACAUUUUCAUAAGUUGGAUUGAAUCAUGGAUUUACUAGGUAAAUCUAUAGAUUUGACUAAAUGCCUUAACUUAUAUAUGUGUAUGUGUUAUAUUAAUUUAAUUUGAUUUAUAAUUUUAAAUAUAAAUACUAAAUUAUUUAUAUAUUUGGUAAUUCUUGCCUUUUUUAAUGCUCAUUCUUUCUUUAGCAUAAACUUGUUUUAAAAUGUUGCUAUUGUAACAUAUUUUAGUUUAAACUUAUUGUAUAUAUAAUUAUUUUAAUUUUGUUGGUUGUUUUUCUUAUUAGAAAAUUAAUUAAGUUAUAUGAUUAUCAUUAUUUAUUAUUACAAAAUUUAUUCUGAAAAUUUUGUUAGAAUAUAUUGUGGUUCAUAUAAAUUGUUGUAUAAUUAUGUUUUUAAGUAUAUUUAAUUUGUUGGUUAUUUCUCUUAAUAAAAUACUUAUAUUUUAUUUAAAACUGUUUUUCUUAUUUAUUUGAUCUACAGGUUUAUAUUGGACUCAUACCCAACUCAAUCUAUUUAUAACUCAUGGAUUCACGCAUUUGAUGGAUUGAAUUGGGUUAAAAAAAUCAUUAACCUAUACAUAUGGAUUUAGUACCUAAAUUUGAUCCACGUAAGGGUAUCAAAAUGAAUUAGCAUGUCAGGUUCGACAAUAAUCCUCCUAAUACGCAACACAAUUAGAGUUAAGUGUCAACACAAAUGCAAUCUAUUUAAUAAUUAUGUCAAAUAUUUAAAAAUGAAUAUGCCAUGAAAAGUAAAUAGUGAUGCAAAUAUAAUAUAUGUAACUCGUUUAAUAAAAUGGUUCAUAUAUGAGUCAAAUAAUUCAACCAAAUUUAGUUAAAUAGGUCGUAUACAGGUUAGAAACAAGACAGACAUAACCCGAUUAAUAUAUAUAUUGUAUAUGAAAUUAUUUUUUUUAUUUUUAAGUAAAUAAAUUAAACGAGUCAACUCAUGACAUGACUCAUUUAAAUUUAUAUUAUGUAUGAAUUACUGGUUUGUGAAAUCAACCUUUUUAAAUAUAACCCUAAUUUGUUUAAUUCUCGUGUCAUCAACAAUAUUGACAUCCAUGCACCCACGUAUUCCCUCGGGGAGGCGGGAAUAUUUUAACAUCUUGUAGGAAUAUUUUCUAAAAACGUGAAAUGUGAGUGAUAAUUGGAGACGUUAAAUGAAAACGUCCUAAAGUUAUAUUCUCUUAAAUCAUUAGAACGUGGCGAGCAUGUGGGAAUGGGCCGGGGAGCUUUUAUGCAUUCCAGAGCCAUUUGUUUCUAAGAAAUGACUUUUGAUUUGUAGCUAAAAAAAUCGUUUCUAAUUUUCAUUUUUCAUGUAGUGAAACUUGAUUCCUCUGUUGAUUAAUUUCCAUAAUUUUUUAGGGUGUUAUUUAUUUUCUGUUCAACACAUACGUAUUUAAACGGGUUUAGAUAAUUCUAAUCAGAUCCAAAAAGGAUUCGAGUAAUGUAAAUUUAUUUAAGCUUGGGUACUUUAUUUUAUAAACGAAUUAGGGUCGAAUAAGGCAAUUUUUGCAGGCAGCCGACCUAUUGUGUACCCCAAUUCCAAGCAUUUCAUGAAAAUGUGGGUACCUACUAUGCCACUAAUAUAGUUCCUUAUCCAUGGAGUGUGGGCAGCACACAUGGUGGUAGAUGGGAGAGGCAAGUCCAACAACUCCAAUUAAUUGUGGGACGCCUUUUGUAACCCUAACUCAUGAAUUGGAUUUUGAAUAAGUAAUUUCGAAACCCUUAAAAUUCAAUUUAAAGUUCGAAUUCAGAUACUUGGAUGUCUAAAAAAUAAUAAAUUUUUUUAUAUCUGAAUGAUUUUGAAUUUAGAUGGAAGGUGACAAAUAUUAAAAUAAAUUGAGUAUUUUUGUCAAAGAUAUGAUUUAUUAGUGAAAAUUUUUAUGAUCAGGUAUGACUUGAGUUCAGUUAGUUUAAUGAAACGAGUUGAUUUUAUUGAUUGAUUAGUAAUGGUCGAUAUAAAUGUGAUUUCGAGAGUUGUUAAUUAUGUACUCAUAAUAGUAUAAAUUGAUUUGAUAGAGAAGAUGAUAAUUGACCUUGGAGACAUAAAGAUGGGUUGGGGAAUGGGAUGUCUGUUGUGCAUCUUUUUUCUGGUUGAUAUGCUUGUUGAGUUUGUGGAGCCUAUUGAAGAUUGUGUUGUAUAUUAUUUAUCUUUUUGUCUGUAGGUAUAAAAUUAUAAUAGAAAAUUCUACUGAAAUUUUGGGUAUAAUUGUCUUAACUAUCACAAAUUAAAGUUCAAAACUUCAACUUUAUUUUUUCUUUACACAUGUAAGUGAUAAGCAUUAUCCAAUCUUUACCUGUAUUAUUAUGUUGGAGGAUCCCAUCCUUGUACUUGUUCAGGACAGGAUUAGGGUAUGAUUGUGGAAUCACUUAUUAGGGCAAAAGAAUUAUAAUGUUUCGUAAUGUUAUUGCAAAAUGGAGGUCGGUGAAUGAUCGUGUAGUCUCUUUAGGUUACACUAUUUAAAUAUAGCAUAGUUAAUUAGCUGGACAUAAUCUAUCCAAGCUACCAAAAGAGGUGAUAAUUGUAGGUUAAGAGAGUCACCGGCGAUGAGAGUUGCUCCCUAAAGUGAGGUUUCUGGCACCUAAUUCACAUCCUAUUAUUUGGUUUAUGAUUGUUGCUUGGAUGCCUUGUUUCAGCACUCAACCAAUGUGUAUACACUUUACAUGCUGCACUUUAGUAUGUAUUUUCAUCACUGUAGGCAUUGCGGCGAUCAAAUAAAGUUUUUCCUACAUAUAAUUACAAAGUCAAUUAAGAGUUUUCACAAAUAAAUUAGUUUACGCGUCGAUAGUUGCUAAUGUGUUAGUACAUGUAAGCAUAUAAUUACUUUCCUUUAAAAACUAUGUAGACUUAAUUCUUUCUUGUUAUAAUAAAUGAUAAGUUGUUCGAGACAAAUAAGUAAACAAUGAUAGAACUAAACGUUAAAACUAGGGAACAAAAAAUUUUCAAAAGUUAAAUGCUUGAUAAGCUUUUUCUUUUUUUUUUUUUUUUUUUUUUUUUUUUUAAAUUGAGCUAGGAGGGGCUAGGUGCCUAGACAUCCGAGUCCCGGUGACAAGAUUUAAACAACUUUCAAGAUUUUAUUUAGAUGUAAGGUAAAGUUUAUUGAAGUGAGCGAAAUUUAUUAAAGUUGCGUAAUGGUAACUACAUGUAUGAUCUGAUGAUAGAUUCAGUUUCGAAUCUCCUUAUAUAUAUAAAUUAGGUAAGGUGAUAAUAAAUUUUAUGCUACCAUGAAUUUUCAAAAUAAAGUAAGAGUAUUUAUAUAUAUUUGAAAGAAAGGACACAUUGUGUUGUUUAGUUUAAAGUUAUUAAAGAGUAAGGUUAAAUAUAAUACCAAAAUACUCAAAUCAUCAAUUUUGUUAUUUUUAUUAUAUAAAUUUUUAUGGAAUAAAAAGUAAUUAAUCAUCCCCAAUUUCUCAAAUUUAGUGGGCUAAAAACUUUUGAGUGGUUUUUGACCCAUUAGAUAACCAUAAAAAAAUCCUACUACUCAUUAAAACUUUCAUCUCGAACGAUCCAAUAAUUUAAUUUUUUAUCAUUGUUUAUAUGUCCAAUGACGUUAUUCUAAAUUGGGAAUAAUAUUAAUUCAAAUACGAAAGCUUAAUUAAGAUCCGACUUUUUUGAUAUAAUAUUAAAUUUUAUGCCUUAAAGAACCUGAAUUUUUUUUUAUAUUAGCAAAGAAGAAUUUUUAAUUAAGAAUUAAGUAGAAAUAAAUAUAUGUUCAGAUAAAACUCAGCGAUCCAAGUUACUACACCCAAGUCAUCAGGCUUUUCUCAAUGCACUCUAUCUUAUUUUGGAAAUUAAGUAAAACCUGAAUCCAUAUCCAAUACAUAGCCCAAAAUACAAGUGACAGAAAAAUCAAAUUGACUUGUAUUAGACUAGUGCAUCAAAAUUAAUAACUAAUGUUUGAUAAGUUGAGUACUCUAUUGGAUUUGAUAAAAUUUUCCUUGAUUUUAUAAUUUAAUAAAAUAAAAUAUGAAGUGUUGACAAAAAAAAUACUAACAAAUGUUUAUAUUAUUUUGUAAUAAUAUUUUAAUAAGAAUCCAUUUAUUAAUUGAUAUCAGUUGUUAAAGUUUUUUAGAACUGUGAUAAUUUGAAAAUUGUUUGAAAAAUUCAGGGCAAGCAAAAUUGAUUGGCCAUAAAUAAAUUAUAUCAAUACCAGAAUGUAGCUAUCUUGAAGCACAAAAAUUCAGAGUAUAGUUAUUUUCAAGGUCUCAUUUUCUUACAUUUUCAAACCUAAUUUUAGGAAUUAAUAAGGAACCAGUUAAAUAAAACAAGGCAAAUUUCUACAGAAAUUUCUGUAAGGAAAAAUUUAAUUGUAUCUCUUCAUUAUAAUUCAACAAACAAAAUCGAAAAUAAAUUCUAGAUAAAAAAUGUACUUUCAGUAAUCGGUAAUAAUGCUUGAAAGAUAAUAAAUAUUUUCGGUGCAAUAAUUGAAAUUUAAAAUUUUCCUUGUGUAUAAAUAGCCAUGCAUUCCAUGCAAGAUUUUGUCAUCUCUUACCAAACAAAUAUCAUAAUACACAAGAAUUCUAAUUGUCACUCCUAAGUAUAACGAAAAUGGCUAAUUUGCUGAUAGCUCUUGGUGUUUUGGCUAUGGCUUCCUCAUUUGCCAUUGCCUAUGAUCCUAGCCCUCUCCAAGAUUUCUGCGUCGCAACUGAUGAUUCUGCUUCCGGCGGUAUGUACAUUUUGCUUUUCCUUUAUUUUAAUUUCCUUUUCUAGGAUUUAGUAUUUCAUUUUCAGACAGUUAGUUUGUCUCCCAUCAACUUCAUUAUUGAUGAAUAAUGUUAUGUUAAAGUUUCAUAAAUAAAAAUAGACAUGGGUCAGGGUGAGCAAAAUUUGGCUACUUCAGAUGUAUAUUAUAUUACAUUUGCCCAUAAAAGACUUAUGAUCUGAAUUUUGGUUUUAAGAUCACCUAGUAAGAUAAUUUAGUUUUGGCUUGGAAGAUGAUCCUAUAUUAACAUUUUAAUUUUUUGGUGCUUUUAGUAUUCGUAAAUGGAAAAUUCUGCAAGGAUCCAGAAACGGUAACACCAGAUGACUUUUCUUAUACUGGAUUCAACAUUCCUAGAGAAACCUCACAACAGCUUGGAGUUCGCACAAAUCUCUUAACUGUGAACGACAUUCCUGGCCUUAACACAAAUGGUCUGUCCAUAGUUCGUAUUGACUUCACACCUGGAGGUGUAAAUCCACCUCACAACCAUCCUCGAGCUGCAGAAAUUAUCACUGUCUUGGAAGGAACUCUAUAUGCAGGUUUUAUCACUUCGAAUCCCGAUCACCGCCUUUUCGCCAAGGUUUUGAAGCCAGGGG
rnacentral:lncRNA from 1 species